UGAGGAAUAUUGGUCAAUGGACGCAAGUCUGAACCAGCCAUGCCGCGUGCAGGAAGACGGCUCUAUGAGUUGUAAACUGCUUUUGUACGAGGGUAAACGCUCUUACGUGUAAGAGCCUGAAAGUAUCGUACGAAUAAGGAUCGGCUAACUCCGUGCCAGCAGCCGCGGUAAUACGGAGGAUCCAAGCGUUAUCCGGAUUUAUUGGGUUUAAAGGGUGCGUAGGCGGUUUGAUAAGUUAGAGGUGAAAUACCGGUGCUUAACACCGGAACUGCCUCUAAUACUGUUGAACUAGAGAGUAGUUGCGGUAGGCGGAAUGUAUGGUGUAGCGGUGAAAUGCUUAGAGAUCAUACAGAACACCGAUUGCGAAGGCAGCUUACCAAACUAUAUCUGACGUUGAGGCACGAAAGCGUGGGGAGCAAACAGGAUUAGAUACCCUGGUAGUCCACGCAGUAAACGAUGAUAACUCGCUGUCGGCGAUACACGGUCGGCGGCUAAGCGAAAGCGAUAAGUUAUCCACCUGGGGAGUACGUUCGCAAGAAUGAAACUCAAAGGAAUUGACGGGGGCCCGCACAAGCGGAGGAACAUGUGGUUUAAUUCGAUGAUACGCGAGGAACCUUACCCGGGCUUGAAAGUUACUGACGAUUCUGGAAACAGGAUUUCCCUUCGGGGCAGGAAACUAGGUGCUGCAUGGUUGUCGUCAGCUCGUGCCGUGAGGUGUCGGGUUAAGUCCCAUAACGAGCGCAACCCCUACCGUUAGUUGCCAUCAGGUCAAGCUGGGCACUCUGGCGGGACUGCCGGUGUAAGCCGAGAGGAAGGUGGGGAUGACGUCAAAUCAGCACGGCCCUUACGUCCGGGGCUACACACGUGUUACAAUGGUAGGUACAGAGGGCAGCUACCCAGUGAUGGGAUGCGAAUCUCGAAAGCCUAUCUCAGUUCGGAUCGGAGGCUGAAACCCGCCUCCGUGAAGUUGGAUUCGCUAGUAAUCGCGCAUCAGCCAUGGCGCGGUGAAUACGUUCCC
rnacentral:rRNA from 1 species